AGAGUUUGAUCCUGGCUCAGGACGAACGCUGGCGGUGUGCUUCACACAUGCAAGUCGAACGAGGUAGCAAUACCUAGUGGCGGACGGGUGAGUAACGCGUGGGAAUCUGCCUUGAGAUGGGGGAUAACGAGCCGAAAGGCUCGCUAAUACCGCAUAUGCCGAAAGGUGAAAGGAGUAAUCCGUCUUAAGAUGAGCCCGCGUCCGAUUAGCUAGUUGGUGGGGUAAAGGCCUACCAAGGCGACGAUCGGUAGCUGGUCUGAGAGGAAGAUCAGCCACAAUGGGACUGAGACACGGCCCAUACUCCUACGGGAGGCAGCAGUGGGGAAUUUUACGCAAUGGGGGAAACCCUGACGUAGCGACACCGCGUGAGCGAAGAAGCCCUUUGGGGUGUAAAGCUCUGUCAGCUGGAACGAAAAAAAUGACGGUACCAGCAGAGGAAGCAUCGGCUAACUACGUGCCAGCAGCCGCGGUAAGACGUAGGAUGCGAGCGUUGUCCGGAUUCAUUGGGCGUAAGGAGUUCGUAGGUGGUUUGUUAAGUCUGAUGUUAAAGAUCGGGGCUCAACCCUGAGACUGCAUUGGAUACUGGCAGACUUGAGUAUGGUAGAGGCUAGUGGAAUUCCCAGUGUAGCGGUGAAAUGCGUAGA
rnacentral:rRNA from 1 species